rnacentral:rRNA from 1 species
AUUGGACGCUGGCGGCAGGCCUAACACAUGCAAGUCGAGCGGAUGAAGGGAGCUUGCUCCUGGAUUCAGCGGCGGACGGGUGAGUAAUGCCUAGGAAUCUGCCUGCUAGUGGGUGAUAACGUCCGCAAACGGGCGCUAAUACUGCAUACGACCUGCGGGAGAAAGUUGGGGAGCUUCGGACAUCACGCGAUGAGAUGAGCCUAGGUCGGAGUAGCUAGUUUGUGGGGUAAAGGCCUACCAAGGGGAGCAUCCGUAACUAGUCGGUGUGGAGGAUAAGUCACACGAGAAGGGGAACAGGGUCCAGACUACUACGGGAGGCAGCAGUGGGGAAUAUUGGACAAUAGGCGAAAGCAUGGUCCAGUCAUGCGGCGUGUGUGAAGAAGGUCUUCCGAUUGUGAAGCACUUUAAGUUGGGAGGAAGGGCAGUAAGCUAAUACCUUGCUGUUUUGACGUUAACGACAGAAUAAGCACCGGCUAACUUCGUG